GCAGGCUGCAACUCGCCUGCAUGAAGCUGGAAUUGCUAGUAAUCGCGGAUCAGCAAGCCGCGGUGAAUACGUUCCCGGGCCUUGUGCACACCGCCCGUCACACCAUGAGAGUCGGGAACACCCGAAGUCCGUAGUCUAACCGCAAGGGGGGCGCGGCCGAAGGUGGGUCCGGUAAUUGGGGUGAAGUCGUAACAAGGUACC
rnacentral:rRNA from 1 species